CUUCUUUAUUCUUCGUUCUUCUUCUUCGUUCUUCUUUUUCUUCUUCUCUGCUUCUGCGAGUUUUAAGAGGGAUCAAAUGGAAGUUCUGAGAUCGAAAGAAGGUGGAGAAGAUCAUACUGUAGUCGGUAGUGAUGGUGAUGGUGUCUAUUGUGAUUCAGAUUGGAAGAAAUAAAUGAGAAAUUAUUAGGGUUUAUGAGUUUGAUUCGGAGAUGAGUUCGAAGAUGAAAUUAAGGAUGGGUUUUAGGAACAGGUCAUGAAGAUGAAGUUGGUUGUGUUAAUUGGGUGUUUGAUGUGAAGAAUUGAAGUUAAGAUUUGAGAGUUAGGGUUUGAGGUUUUGAUUAAUGGUUUGAAGACUUGGAAGAUGAAGAAUAAAUAUACUGAUAAAUGAAUAAGCGGUGGUUGAAGUUUAAUUGAAGUUCUGAAUUUGUCUUGGAGAUGGGUUUGAGAUGAAUUAGAGUUUAGUUGAGAACUGAUGGAGAUGAUUGGGUUUUGGUUGAAGUGAAUUGGUAGAUGGUUGUUGUCUUAAGAUGAAUUGCUGAAUCAAGUUAAUCAAGAAGAAGAGUUCGAUUUCAAUUGGCUUAUCUGAGAUGAACUACUUUGAGGUAAUUAUUUCUCUGAGUUAAAUUGGUAAAGUUGACCAGUUCAUUGAUUUGUAUAUGUAAUUGAUAAUGGAAACAAGGUUGUUAUGAGUAUAGAAUGGAAUGUGUUUAGAAUUGGAGAUGAAAUGUUGUUGCUUAUGGACUUGAGUUCCAUAAUGGAGUUUCUCUAGCUAUUGGUGAGGUUUGUGAAGUUGUGGUGUUGAAUGACAGGGGAUGUAUAUGAAGCUUGGUAGUGGUAAUUGGAAACAAAAUUGAGGUUACAUGUGAUGAUUGAGAUGAAAUUUCACUAUGGAUGAAUUGGCAAGUGGGAUGGAAAAUACUGAACUGGUGUUGUUGAGGGAAUUCAGGAAUGAGGAAGGUGGUGUUAGAUUGUUGAGUCUUAGAUGGAUGUUUAGGAGAUGCAGUUACUGGUGAUGAUGUUGAAUGAGUUGGUAUGGUCGUGUUCAAGUGCUAUCGGUGUUGUUAGUUCAGUAAAAGCUUGCAACUACUGUUUCAGGUAAGCUGAAGUCACAAUUGUAAAUAAGUUAAGAUGUUUUCAUGAAGUAAAGGUGUUGAUUAAUGGAAGUGAGAGCUCAAUUUGAGUUGCAACUGAAGUAACAUAGGAAUUAGUUAUAACUCUUAGAUUUUGUAUGUGCUGAUAGGAUGUGCAAGCUGAAGUAGAUUGUAACGUUGUCAUGGCAGUGAUCUUAGUGAGAGACUGCAAUGCAUAUCAAGGUAAUCUUAAAUUACAGUUGUAUUAGAAUUCCGUUUAAGUGAAGUAUUUGUGUAAUGUUGUAAUAAAUGAAAUAAGGUUAAUUGUGUUCUUA